AACUGUCUCUUAUUUAAUUAUAUAAUUUAAUUUUUUUAUUAAAAAGUUAAAAUAUUUUAAAAAGACGAGAAGACCCUAUAGAGUUUAAUAAAUAUUUAAGUUAAGAUUAUUUUGAGGUAUAAACUUGAAAUUUAACUAUUUAUUUUGUUGGGGUGAUAAAAAAAUAUAAAAAACUUUUUUUAAAAUAAUACAUUUAUAAGUGAUUAAAUGAUCCAAUAUUAUUGAUUAUAAGAAAAAAUUACCUUAGGGAUAACAGCGUAAUUUUUUUUUUUAGUUCAAAUAAGAAAAAGAGUUUGCGACCUCGAUGUUGGAUUAAGAUAAAAUUUAAA
rnacentral:rRNA from 1 species